GGAGAAUAUCACAUCAUGACAUUUGCUUUUAUAUACAUGUAUAUAGCUUUAAUUCAGAAGGCAUGUUUAAAGCAUAUAAAAGACAUGUUUAAAGUAUAUUGGUUUAAUAUUCAUGUGUAAUAAAUGUUUUGUUUUUAGUUUAUUGGUAAAUCUUACCAAAAAUUACAACUACAAGAACAAGUUUUUGUUUUCCUCUUUGCUUUUUAUAUAAUUAUACCUGAUACAUUAUAUAUUAAGCUUUUGGUAGUCAAAUUCAUAACAUUUAAGCAUGGUAAACUUUGCAAUGACUGGGUUUUUCCUUACCCAAUGUUUACAAUGUGUAUAUAAUGGUGUGGAACAUUUAAUGAUUUUGUGUUUUCAUAGAGACAUUGUAUUAUUCAGAAAGAAAACUGAACUUUUUUCAAAACUUUUGAUUUUAAAAAUAAUGGGACCAGCUUUCUGUAUUUUUAUUUAUUUAACUUUUCUCCAUCAGCCAAUUAAAAGCAGCCUUAAAUAUGCGUUUUUGGUUUUCCCCCUCAUAUAAACUAUGCGUUUUACAAGAGAUUUCUCAAUUGAAUUUUUUUUUAAUAACGUUUGUGUAAUGAUGAACUUAUUGUAGGUGUUAUAGAACAUGUCGUAUGUGUUUGCCUUGUGCUUUCAAGUGAUAAUAACACCUUACAACUGACUGGCGUGCAUGUACACCUGCAGGCCUGUAUAGACUAAUAUACAAUGUACCAUUCAAAUUCGGGCUUGUUUGAAUCCCUGUUGGUUGUUUAUUGAAUAGAGUUGUUAGUAGCCAAUAAACCAUAUUUAAAAAAAAAUAAAAACGUUUUAUUUGCAAUUGUUUUCUUUCUACUGGUGAGUUACAUGCUGAUUAUUUAUAACUCUGUAUGGCACACAUGUAACCAUCAGCUCCAAUAGAGCAGGCUAUUCAACGAGACCUUCCUAUUCUAAAGCUAGGUUGCAAAUACCGGUAAUAGCAAAUAAGAAUGCAUCAUAUAUGUUGAGCCACCACUUUCAAAUUUUCCUUGGGAAUGAACAGAGCUUUAACGGGCAGAUCUCAUUUAAAUCAUCUAUGUUGAUUUCAGUCUUGAUUCUGAACAUGACCUAACUUUUCCAGGUGAGGUUUAAGUUUUUUGAGUUUAAACCAGAUCUGCUACCAAGAAAUACUGUGCUUUUUUCAUUCAGCCAAAGCUUACGUAAUACAUCUGAAGAGCUCUUAAACUACUUAAGUCAUGCUGUGGAUUUUGUAAACAUGUCAUACCCAUACCCUGAUAGAUUAGGUCAACUUCUAUAAUCAUAACUGGGGACUCUAUUUUUGUAAAGUUUCAGAGACUGGAAUAUAGUUACAUUUCAAUCUUGUUACUAUAAUUUUUUUUGUUAAUUUCACCUCAUGUAUUCUAUAUGUUUGAUAGUCAUAUUUUGUACUUCUUUUUUCAAAGAAGUUCCUGUAUUGCUUUCUUUGCUACCCUUAAAUUUGAAUCAAUUAACUACAAGUUUUAUGCAGAACUUCUUACCGUGUACUGU
rnacentral:sRNA from 1 species